AUGCUUCUACAAAGACAAUACAUCCCAUGUGGUUUUUGUUUUAAAAAUGUUACUAUAUUUUUUUUUUCUAAUUUGAAAUCCAAAAUAUUACCCUGAACGAGGCUGCUUGUGUAUUACACCGACUUUGCUGUGGGAUUUGUUUUUUAAUUGAGAAGAACUUUGGAUCCGGAACAGGGUUGGUCCAAUUAAAAGGUCACCAAUGUGACACUUAUGGUGUGGAAGAGGGUAAAGAGUGAUCGUUGGUACAUAAGACAGAGUGGCUCUCGACAUGUUUUUAGGAAAAGGGAUACAUGAAAUGAAUC
rnacentral:lncRNA from 1 species